rnacentral:rRNA from 1 species
CACGUAGGGCGCAAGCGUUGUCCGGAAUUAUUGGGCGUAAAGAGCUCGUAGGCGGUCUGUUACGUCUGCUGUGAAAACCCGGGGCUUAACCCUGGGCUUGCAGUGGAUACGGGCAGACUAGAGGCAGGUAGGGGAGAAUGGAAUUCCCGGUGUAGCGGUGAAAUGCGCAGAUAUCGGGAGGAACACCGGUGGCGAAGGCGGUUCUCUGGGCCUGUUCUGACGCUGAGGAGCGAAAGCGUGGGGAGCGAACAGG